AAUGGACGCAAGUCUGACCCAGCAACGCCGCGUGAAGGAAGAAGGCUUUCGGGUUGUAAACUUCUUUUAACAGGGAAGAGAAGAAGACGGUACCUGUUGAAUAAGCCACGGCUAACUACGUGCCAGCAGCCGCGGUAAUACGUAGGUGGCAAGCGUUGUCCGGAUUUACUGGGUGUAAAGGGCGUGUAGCCGGGAAGGCAAGUCAGAUGUGAAAUCUGGAGGCUCAACCUCCAAACUGCAUUUGAAACUGCUUUUCUUGAGUAUCGGAGAGGUAAUCGGAAUUCCUUGUGUAGCGGUGAAAUGCGUAGAUAUAAGGAAGAACACCAGUGGCGAAGGCGGAUUACUGGACGACAACUGACGGUGAGGCGCGAAAGCGUGGGGAGCAAA
rnacentral:rRNA from 1 species